CUUUUUUAAAGGUUUCCAUAACCUCUUUUGAGACCUUAGCCCAGUAGUGAAUCAUCUUUAUGUUGGGGAAGAUUUUCUCAGCAAUAAACUCUCAGAUCACCUUCCCAGCAGGGUGGAGAGAGGAAAGAAGCAGAGGACCCCACCUUCCUUCAUCUUAAAGGUCAUGAAGUAUUGGAACGUUAUUUUCCGCCUAUUGCAGCAUAGAAUUUCGUUAUUCAAUUUUGCUACUCUGCAGUCAUCUUCAUUGGGGACUUCUCUGAAUCUCAGCCUUCCAUUUCAUUCUUUAUUGUCCACCACACGCCCCAUUUAUGUGUUCAAGGAAAUAUGGCUGUUUCAACUACAGCCAAGAAGAAAAGAUCAUUUCUAAAUAGUAACUAGGAGACAUUUGGAAUCCUAGUCACGCAGGAGUGGCUUCUUGUUAACUGCCUAUUGACCAAAUCCCACAGUAGAAAAAACAUUUUCAGCACCGACAUCUUUGCACCAGGGAUCUGGUCACUCGUUCUUCAGCAAAUGACAAGAAGGUGCCCUCCCUCAAACUGUACACUUCUGACUAGAAAAGGGUGAUAUUUGGGUCCAUAACUCAUUUUCAUCCUGUAAUCAAGUCCCACUGAAUCUGAGCAGAAAGGAAGUCCAGAGGUUUACCAUACAGGGCCUAAAAUAGUGUGAGAAAGGAACUAGCUUCAGCCUGGAUGAAAAUCAUUAAAUCAAACACUGGGAAAUUCAUUUCUCAUAAGACUGGAGUCACUGGAGACUUGCCCAGCUAUGAACCAAGAAUAGCCAUUCACAGCCGAGGGGAUGCAGUAGGAAAAUACAGUUCAAGGUGUAAUAAAACUCCUCAUCUGCAGCAAACUUGUGGACUCCGGCAAAUGUUACAGAUCAGUACCUGUGUUAAAAGGUUUAGAGUUACAUGCCUUUGCUUUUUGGAUAACGUUUCUCAAGCGUCUUCCUUCGACUGCAAUUCAUGUUUUAAAGGAAAACAUAUCUCUUGUGUUUUCAGGGGAACAGUGUGGAAAUGGAGGGGCCUCUACUCUUAAGAGGCAGACAUUCUGUAUUUUUGUAUUCAUUUGCAGCUCAGAGACCAUAAAAAAUUUUAAUGAAAAAUGCCAUGGACGGAUUCCAAGAAAUUCUUUUUCAGUGGUGCAAGCAGUUCACUCUGAUGGGUAGAUGGAUAAUUGCUAACAAUAACACAAAGAGAAAACUGGAGGUCAUUUCUAUCAAGGAAUAUGGGAUUGGGUUUAUUGUUUAGAAACAGCAAAAGGGAUCCCAAGAAAGACAAUUUAAAUAAAGGGUGCAACCUUAAUAUUUAAUGUAUGCAUCUAUAUUUAAUAUUCACCUAAUGCUGCCACUUUUGUAGCAUUUGCAGCUCAAGUUGACGACACAGUAAAAACAUUUCCUUUGUUUCUUAGAUUAUAUUUUACAGUUUGAUGCUCUUUCUUUCUACUCCUAAAUUAAAUGUAGGUGUAAUGUUCAACAGCUAGUGUUGGGAGUUCUGUGAUGAUCAUGUACUGGCACCUCUCAUCAGGCCCUAAUGUUAAGAGCCCUAAAAACGUGGAAAACCAUAAAAUGCCAUCUUUUGAGGUCCCAGACCAAGAUGCGGUAUAGCAGCCCCUCAGCUUUGGGUCAAGAAGGGAGCUCCAAAUCCUACUAAAGGCUGCACAAGACAGAUAAUAACUACUGUUCCAGGAAGACUGUUUUAGAGUAGAACUAGAGAACAGACUGAUGAUGGCAGUGAUGUAAACAGAAACUGUCCAAGAGACAGCAUGAUUUUCCCAAGCCUAAGGAAGAAAGCAGAAGGUGUCAUGUUAAACAAACAUCUGCACUGGUGAAUAGCAAACAAUGUGUUUGUCUAGUAAACCAAGCAAAUAGGACUUGGAAGUCAUAGAGGAGGAGGGUGAAACAGAGAAUGCCAAGAAGUCCAUUUUGCCAAAUGACUUCUUUUUUUCUUUCUUUUUUCAUGCUCCAGCAGUCAAGGCAGUAAUUACAAGUCUCUCCAGGGACCCCCAAAGACUAAUAUUCUUCAUUGCUACACAGACUUGCCAAUAGUCUCCCCAAACUGCUCAGGCAGUUAAAGAUGUGAAUGCAGUGGGAGUUAGCGUUUUACCAGGAAAGCAAAUAUUGAGCAAAAUGAGCUCUUAGAAAUCAUUUUCCUUCCCAUUUUUCCAGGAUGAAAGCUCAUUAAAAAUGGCAACUUGGACACCAACUGCCUCUAAAUCCCCUGCAUAGUCAUGGGCAGCUACCCAGAAUGCCAGUGCAAGAUUCCUGAUCUGUUCCAGCCUCUCCCUUGGCAGACCCAGCAGGGACAGAAAUGGAGCAUUCAGUCGUUCUAACCAAAUUCAGUCUUAGCUUCAUGACUUUACCCCCAUUGAUAGCAAGGAGUUGGUUCAACUGAGUUUUGUAUCUGGAAACAGAAUAAGCAGCUAAACUGGUCAACUGAAUUACGUUGGUUUUGGUUUGGUUUUUUUUAAAAUUGCUUAGCAUGUCCAAUGGCCAGUGUGAUUAUAUUUUUCUCUCCAGAGGAACUUUCCCUUGGGUUUACAUUGUCUUCUGGAUAAUCCACACCAGUCGCUUCUUUUUCUAUGAGGCCAAAGCGACUCUUCAUUCUCUUCACCUUCCUCAUAUUAAUGAGCUGCCUCUUCAGGAAUCCAGGAGGUUGGAGUUUUUCAGGCAACCCAAUUUCUUUGGCUUUCUCAGUUCCUUCUUCUCCUAAAUGGUGCUACCUACUAUCAUGAGGCACAGAAAUAAUAAUGAUAAU